rnacentral:lncRNA from 1 species
GUCUAGGUUGAAUAUAAAUCCUUCAACUUUCUCUCUGAAAUAAGGAGGUUCAAAAUAUUUUUGAUGGUCUGUGUAUGUGGAAAAGAAACGUCAACUAAAGGAAUUUGUUUAUAAUUUAUGUAGAAGAUAACAAGAGGGCCGCCCACCCCUUCUGAGAGGAUCUCAUUUUUACAUAAUUAAACUAUAUCAAAACAAGCUGAGAAUUAAUUGGUUGAAAAACCUAAUCAUAUGGAUCAUUCAGCGUAGUGUUUAUUGCAGCAACGACAUUCAUAAAGUGGCCUCUCUACCCUCAUAAGACUCUUUUUUGAUCACUCUCUGGAAAGUCUGUUGAUAAACCCAGAGAUAUCUUGCAUGAACUCUUCCUAGACUUGAUGGGAUAGGCCAGGGUUAUUAUCUUUAAGUCCUCCGGAUCGAAUCUGCCCUUUGUGACAGUCCCUUCGUCUUCUCCCACGUUUUGGACUUGCUGAUGGUGUAGAAAGUUAUCCUGUAGACGCCCAACUCCUUGAAGUGCACUAAUGGAAAUUCGUUGUUCACGUUCAGUUGUAAUUUUUUCGAGUUGUACGUAAGCUAAAGAGCUCUGGUUUGUUUUGUUUUGUAAUUAAUUAAUUAAUUUUAACCAAUCGACCUUCAUUAAUUACUGAAUUAUUAAGUGUUUAGAUUUAAUAGACCCUAAUAUGUCAAUGUUUUAAAAAAGGACGAUAUUCCAGAAAUCGUUUUCUAAUGACAAUACACUACCUUGGAAGGUUGCUUAAUCCAGUUAAAUAAAAGUAAUUGAAGUAGAUUCAAUCAGAUUGAGUAAUCGACUGUUCGAUAAAUGGGGCAGAAUGAUUAUCAAUUUACUCUACAUUGAAAUGGAAAUGACUGUAUUCAUACGUAACUUCUAAACUUAUUUAUCAAUAGAAAAAUAUAUUAUAAUUAUACAUAUAUGGGAUGUGCCAAUAUUUCAUUGACAUAUUUGGGAAAUUAUAAGACUUUUAUUCAUUAAGAUGAAAGGAAAUGUUGAAUUAAUUCCGUAUAUUUAGAUGUCAAAA